rnacentral:rRNA from 1 species
UGGGAUAAGCCUGGGAAACUGGGUCUAAUACCGGAUAUGACUCCUCAUCGCAUGGUGGGGGGUGGAAAGCUUUUUUGUGGUUUUGGAUGGACUCGCGGCCUAUCAGCUUGUUGGUGAGGUAAUGGCUCACCAAGGCGACGACGGGUAGCCGGCCUGAGAGGGUGACCGGCCACACUGGGACUGAGACACGGCCCAGACUCCUACGGGAGGCAGCAGUGGGGAAUAUUGCACAAUGGGCGAAAGCCUGAUGCAGCGACGCCGCGUGAGGGAUGACGGCCUUCGGGUUGUAAACCUCUUUCAGUAGGGAAGAAGCGUAAGUGACGGUACCUGCAGAAGAAGCGCCGGCUAACUACGUGCCAGCAGCCGCGGUAAUACGUAGGGCGCAAGCGUUAUCCGGAAUUAUUGGGCGUAAAGAGCUCGUAGGCGGUUUGUCGCGUCUGCCGUGAAAGUCCGGGGCUCAACUCCGGAUCUGCGGUGGGUACGGGCAGACUAGAGUGAUGUAGGGGAGACUGGAAUUCCUGGUGUAGCGGUGAAAUGCGCAGAUAUCAGGAGGAACACCGAUGGCGAAGGCAGGUCUCUGGGCAUUAACUGACGCUGAGGAGCGAAAGCAUGGGGAGCGAACAGGAUUAGAUACCCUGGUAGUCCAUGCCGUAAACGUUGGGCACUAGGUGUGGGGGACAUUCCACGUUUUCCGCGCCGUAGCUAACGCAUUAAGUGCCCCGCCUGGGGAGUACGGCCGCAAGGCUAAAACUCAA